UUAGUUGGGCAACAUGAGGGCUAUUUUAUGUCUUAACCUACACAGGUUGCAUUUGGCACGUGGUUGGCAGUGACUGAGCAAGCCCUGAGAAUAAAACGGGAAAACAGGCCCCUCGAUGAGUGGAGCAUGGGAUCCAUAUUACUUCCGUCACCUUAUUCCCUUCCUUUUUCUUCCUAGAAAACUGGGAAGGCGAGGAGGGAUCCACACACACACCCCACCCACAACACUGAAAAGGUCUCCGAAGGCUCCUACCUCGUCCCUUAACUCUCCCGUCUGGAAGGGAGCGCACGAGACAGGCACACAGCCCUGAGAAAGCUUUCCACCACCCACCUGUUCUGCAAGCCCGUUCAAGGCCCCACACGGGGCUCAACUGGAGAGAAGGCUGAAAUGUUGUUACCAGUCCUAAGAUAAGGAGGUACCGAGCAGACGUCAUACCCACACUUCCCACCAAGUUUUUCCAGCUGCUACACCAAAUGCGCCCGGGAAGAAGAAAACGGGGUAGCGACUGGUAAACAGGUUUUUUUGUUUUGUUUUGUUUUUGCAGCAGUGGGCACCGGGGAGGGAGGAAGACACGAAACCAAGACCCAAGAGGAUUGCGACACCCCCCCCCCCCCCCUUCCCAGCAUGUGGCCCACGGAAGCAUGGCGCCUUUCCCGAGCCAAAGUGGGAAGGGCGUCCGGGACAGACACCUGAGCCUCCCGGCAGGAAGCCUGUUCACCUUUUUCCCUUCCGUCCCAACCAGCGCCCCGCUCUUCCCCAAAGGAAAUCCUUUCCCCACCCGGAGCCGCAGGGUCCACUCCAAAGUGGCCGCCCCGCGGGUCCGUCCCGACCCUCCAUCCACCUCCAUCCCCGCCCUGGGUCCUCGCCCUCCCCGCCACCCCCGUUCUCCCGGGACGGAAGCCUUCGCCGCUGCAGGAAUGCGCGGCCGUGACCGAAGUGGGGACGCCACUGGCCGGCCCAGGACCCAGGGGGACGCGCACCGGCCGGCCGGGAGCGCAGAGCGCCACGCGCUCACCUGGGAGCGCCCGCAGGACCGGCUGCUGCAGCCACCUGCGCAGGGACCCCACGUCCCGGGAACCCCGUGCGACGCCCUGGAAACCCCGUCGGGCGUCCCCUCCCCGGGGAAGGGGUGGGAGACACGCAGACGGAGAUGCCCACACGUGCUCGGCGGCCGGCUGCCGCCCGCCCCGCCCAGGGCAGCCCCUACGCUCCCGGGACUGACUCACCGAGAACUUUUUUCUCCGCGUCUUCGUUGCCGGUGGGGGCUGAAGAGGCGGGGGCCGCGGGG